rnacentral:rRNA from 1 species
GAUGAACGCUGGCGGCGUGCCUAAUACAUGCAAGUCGAGCGAACGGACGAGAAGCUUGCUUCUCUGAUGUUAGCGGCGGACGGGUGAGUAACACGUGGAUAACCUACCUAUAAGACUGGGAUAACUUCGGGAAACCGGAGCUAAUACCGGAUAAUAUUUUGAACCGCAUGGUUCAAAAGUGAAAGACGGUCUUGCUGCCACUUAUAGAUGGAUCCGCGCUGCAUUAGCUAGUUGGUAAGGUAACGGCUUACCAAGGCAACGAUGCAUAGCCGACCUGAGAGGGAGAUCGGCCAAACUGGAACUGAGAAACGGUCCAGACUCCUACGGAAGGCAGCAGUAGGGAAUCUUCCGCAAUGGACGAAAGCCUGACGGAGCAACGCCGCGUGGGUGAUGAAGAUCUUCGGAUCGUAAAACUCUGUUAUUAGGAAAGAACAUAUGUGUAAGUAACUGUGCACAUCUUGACGGUACCUAAUCAGAAAGCCACGGCUAACUACGUG